rnacentral:rRNA from 1 species
GUGGGGAAUAUUGGACAAUGGGCGAAAGCCUGAUCCAGCCAUGCCGCGUGUGUGAAGAAGGUCUUCGGAUUGUAAAGCACUUUAAGUUGGGAGGAAGGGCAGUAAGUUAAUACCUUGCUGUUUUGACGUUACCGACAGAAUAAGCCCCGGCUAACUACGUGCCAGCAGCCGCGGUAAUACGUAGGGGGCAAGCGUUGUCCGGAAUGAUUGGGCGUAAAGGGCGCGUAGGCGGCCCGGUAAGUCUGAAGUGAAAGUCCUGCUUUUAAGGUGGGAAUUGCUUUGGAUACUGUCGGGCUUGAGUGCAGGAGAGGUAAGCGGAAUUCCCGGUGUAGCGGUGAAAUGCGUAGAGAUCGGGAGGAACACCAGUGGCGAAGGCGGCUUACUGGACUGUAACUGACGCUGAGGCGCGAAAGUGUGGGGAGCAAACAGGAUUAGAUACCCGGGUAGUCC